GUUGUAUACAAACUCCUUGGGAAGCUAUAAAUCACUGUUCUACUGAGAUUGUCAUACGUAGGGGUAACAGGCACCAUCUGCAAUUCAUCUCAUAGACUCCAUUUGAAAAUACCAAUUUUUCUUCAGUCUGUCUGAAGGGAUUGUGAGGGAUGGUCUGACAAGGAAGACAACCAGGUCUUCCUUUGGGUAUCCAAAUACUAACAAAAUAUCCAAUCUUUGCUAGGUAUUAGAAAAGGGAGAACAGAAAGUUAUCCCAGAAAGCCAAAAUCAUAAUUAGAAUUUGUUCUUAUUUUUGGCAAAAAAUUAGAGAUAGAUUUGUUUUUGGAACUCAAAUGUCAUUCGCUAUGUACCAAUCAGCACCGAAUUGUAUGGUUGCUUUUCAGAAGAAAACAUAGUUCAUAUUCCAGUUGCAAAUACCAUCUCCUCACAGAUGAACUUAAAGUCAGUUUGAACAAUAAAUAAUCUUUUGAUUUAUUACACCUUUCAUUUUAUGAUUUCUAAUAGCUGCACAAAAAUAAGUCGACCUGUGUUAUUUAGUUGAAUAUCUUGUUUCUUCAUUUUCACCAGUGUAGGCUUUUGUGAUUAUUUCUAGUGUAAGUACACAUUGUCAUCCAUAGAUAGAAAUUAACUGUUUUGUAAAUUAAUUCUCACAAAAUAGUUAUAGUAUACACUUUUAUUUAAAGUGUCCACUAUUAAUGUGCAACUUGCUUUAAGUCAUCUUUAAUGUAAACUGUAAGCUUUCUUCAAUAGAUGCAAAAGAUAUCCACAAUAGUGCCACAGUGGUAGAUGAUUUGAACAGGAAUGAAGAGAAACAGAAUGGAAUGUAAGUUGCUAGUCACAGUGACUAGUGGAGAUUCAGCAAUGGGGUGGUGCCCAGUGGUCACUAUCCAAACCACUUUCAGUAAAAUCACAUCCAAAGAAUCAAACAACAUGCCUGACAAAUGGUCUGUGGGAAGGGAUGCAGCAGGUACUCAGUGAAUUCUGACUUUGAGUUAGAUUAUAUAUCCCUUAGCUUUCCACUUUCUAGGGUAAAAUAGCACUCUGGCAGGUUUUAACCAAUCAACCAACAAAUGUGUAUUGAGUAUCUACAAUGUACCUGGUAUUUUGAGGGAAACAGACAAACACAUCUUAUUCUCAAAGAACUC
rnacentral:lncRNA from 1 species